UUACCAAGACAAUGAUCUAUAGCUGAUCUGAGAGGAUGAUCAGCCACACUGGAACUGAGAUACGGUCCAGACUCCUACGGGAGGCAGCAGUGGGGAAUAUUGGACAAUGGGCGAAAGCCUGAUCCAGCCAUGCCGCAUGAGUGAAGAAGGCCUUCGGGUUGUAAAGCUCUUUUAGUGAGGAAGAUAAUGACGGUACUCACAGAAGAAGUCCUGGCUAACUCCGUGCCAGCAGCCGCGGUAAUACGGAGAGGGCUAGCGUUAUUCGGAAUCAUUGGGCGUAAAGGGCGCGUAGGCGGGUUAGUAAGUUAAAAGUGAAAUCCCAAGGCUCAACCUUGGAACUGCUUUUAAAACUGCUAGUCUAGAGAUUGAAAGAGGAUAGAGGAAUUCCUAGUGUAGAGGUGAAAUUCGUAAAUGUUAGGAGGAACACCAGUGGCGAAGGCGUCUAUCUGGUUCAAAUCUGACGCUGAGGCGCGAAGGCGUGGGGAGCAAACAGGAUUAGAUACCCUGG
rnacentral:rRNA from 1 species